ACUUGUAUAGCUUAUAAUUAGAGCACUGUGUUGAAGCCGCAGGGGAGGUAAAAUUUACUUAUAAGUA
rnacentral:tRNA from 1 species